rnacentral:rRNA from 1 species
UACGUAGGGAGCAAGCGUUGUCCGGAAUCAUUGGGCGUAAAGCGCGCGUAGGUGGCCUCAUAAGUCCGCUGUGAAAGUCAAAGGCUCAACCUUUGAAAGCCGGUGGAUACUGUGAGGCUAGAGUACGGAAGAGGCGAGUGGAAUUCUUGGUGUAGCGGUGGAAUGCGCAGAUAUCAGGAGGAACACCAAUAGCGAAGGCAGCUCGCUGGGACGUUACUGACACUGAGGCGCGAAAGCGUGGGGAGCAAACAGG